rnacentral:lncRNA from 1 species
UCAAUGACAAGAGCUUGAUGUCUCUCAGACUCCAAUCUCCUCUAUCAUCUCAAGACACAUGAAAGGGAUCCAGCUAGCCUUUCUUGUGAGGGAGUUGAGUUUUCGUCAAAAUAUGAUCUCCUGUGAGAUAAGAGAGAUUCAAGGUUGCGGAAUUGCUCUGUCUGCUUCAAGUCUAAGAACAGUAAGACAUUUGAGGUCAGACCUACAUUUCAACGCUUAUCUGAUGAUGGAUGGAUAGAGGGAGGAAAGACACCAGAAGGUACAUGCUGAGAAGGGCAGCCUGCAGAACUUCACAGUGAACCACACAGGAUAGACAUAGAAAGUAUUUUGAUAAACCUGUUACAAAGAAUAGAGGGCAUGGGGUGGAGAUGAGGAUUCUCCUGGACACUCUUUCUUUCCCCUGUGUUGAAAUAAUCUCCGGCUUCUUCUAACCGGGAAUCACCCCAAGGUGAUUUAUAAAACUCAUUCUCCGGGAACUAUAAAUUCCUUAUGUUAAACUUCUGUAUUGAUAUCUACUACUGCAGUGGUCCAUUUAAGGUGGUGUAUUCUUUUUUUUAAAUCCAUGUGAAACCUUUUAAAAUUUUAGUUGUGUUUUGUUUGUUUGUUUGUUUUCAUGUUAUGGGUAUGGGUAUUUCAUGUGUAUGUAUGUCUCUGUACUAUGUGUACAUUGUAUCCUUGGAUGCCAGAAGAGGAUAUUGUAUCUCCAAGAAACAGAAAUACAGAUGGUUGUAGGCUGAUAUGUAGGUUCUGGGAAUUGGAUGCAGGAAUUCUGGAAGAGUAGCCAGUGAUAAUAACCACUGAGCCAUCUUUCCAGCCUCAUGAUAUAGAGUCCAUAGGAUGAGUACUGCCUAGUUUUUCAUCUGUCCAAUGUUGCACAGUACUUUCUUGCUCACUUCCCUUCCUACCUAGUUUGAGUUGUUUACCUAUAACAAAUAUGCAUAUAGCAUAAAGGAAUAAGGACUGAGUUCAAAAGUCAAUAUCCUGUUUUCAGAUAUUUGCUCUGAGGUUAACCGAGACCAUUUCAGGCUUCUCUUUUCUUUCUCCUGGCUCACCAGGCACUUUGUUAGGAACUGCUUCCUUUGCUUGAUAGUUUUUCACUUUAACUUUUCUCUAUAGAUAUUGGACCUGAGAUUUUUCUGGACUACAAUUGAUAGAUGAGUUCUCUCCUAUGAAAUAUCUGUAUCAAUACCUUUCGGUUCAGAGAAAAUUCUAUUCAUUGUGUGGGCACAGGAACCAAGGGACAAGAAGGUUCAGACAGGCAUUGGCGCCCUUUCAAUUUAAAGCACAAUGACCUUGAUGGUGGUGGCAAACACUUGAUUCAAUGACUGUUUGGACCAUUCAUAAUCAGACCAAACUGUUCCAUUCUUCCUGGCAGGUCACCAAUAAAACAGACAGACAGACAGACAGACAGACAGAUAGAAAGACAAAUGUGCAUGCACACACACACACACACACACACACAAACACACUUAGAGCAGUUGGUGUCUGGUAGAAAUAUUUUAAGGGUAUGUAAGAUAUAAGCAAAUAAAAGGGCAGUGCUCCCUGUAAGUGCACAAUAUCUAUGGAAAUAUUUCUUUGGUUUUUCAAUAAUAUUUUGCUAGUUUAUCCAAUGGGAGAAUCUAAUUUCUUUUAAUGAACUUCACAAACAUUAUUUUAUGUAUUUCUAACGUGAUAUGAUAUUCAUAUCCAUGUGUACACAUAUAAUAGUACUAAAGAAGGCUUUUUCCUCAAAUGGCAUAGUUAAUUUUGGAUCAUCAUAAUUUUCAUCUAUUUUAAUAUUUUGCUACUUUAAUAACUUUAAUAGCAGAGUCACAGUUACUGAAAUAAUGGAGCAAUGGUUCAGACUUUGCCUCAGUGGUACUGAAGGGCUUGUGCUAGGCAGAGCUCUGUAGUUAGCUCAGCUAUUGAGUUCAGGUUGCACUCAUGUGGAUGGACUAAUCAAUCAUGGUCUCAGAGCAUCACUGCUAUAUUCAACUGCAGACAAUGGGCCACCUUAGUUCUAAACUAAGUGCUAAACGAUUAUUUAGUUUCAUUAAUGUGUAAGUGCACGUUAAGGUGAAAGAGUUAGGUUUUGCUUCCAUACUUAGAGUAUUCUAAGUGCCUGCCUUCUUUUAGGAAAAAUAGAGGACUUGAAUUCUAAUGUGUAUCUCAUUUCCUGUGAUGCAUACAUUGCUGAUACACCACAAUAUGUUAACUAAUGACAUUAAACUAUGAAUUUACAAUGCUUUAGAUUCUUGCUAUGACUCUUUAAACCCAAACCUAAACUGCAAUGUAAUAAACAAGUUCUGUAGCUGCCUAUAAUUAAGAACUUAUUGUGGAUGCUCACAACCAACCAUUGGACUGAGCACAGGGUCCCCAAUGAAGGAGUUAGAGAAAGGUCUGAAGGAGCUGAAGGGGUUUGUAACCCCAUAGGAAGAACAAUAUCAACCAACCAGAUCCCCCAGAGCUCCCAGGAACUAAACCACCAACCAAAAAGUACACUUGGAAGGACCCAUGGUCCAGCUACAUAUGUAGCAGAAGAUUGCCUUGUCGGACAUCAAUGGGAGGAGAGGCCCUUGGUCCUGUGAAUGCAUGAUGCCCCAGUGUAGGGAAAUGCCAGGGUGGGGUAGCAGGACUGGGUAGGUGGGUUGGUGAAAACCCUCAUAAAAGCAGGGGGAGGGGGAAUGGAAUAGGGAGUUUGUGCAGGAGAAACCAGGAAAGGGGAUAACAUUUGAAAUGUAAAUAAAGGAAAUAUGUAAUUUAAAAAAAUGAAUGAACUCCUAUCCACUCCUAUCUACACUAUUAAUACAUCACAGCAAUGGAAGAGCUUAUAGAAAUGAAAAUCAAGUUCUCUUACAUCCAUCAGAAGGACAAAAGAGUGAGAGUAACUGAUUCCCUCUCAGUGAGGAUGCACCCUCUUCCUGUUCGGAACUGGGAAGGGGGUAACAUUUGAAAUGUAAAUAAAGAAAAUAUCC